rnacentral:misc_RNA from 1 species
GAUGGAAGAACGUAGCGAAAUGCGAUAAGUAAUGUGAAUUGCAGAAUUCAGUGAAUCAUCGAGUCUUUGAACGCACAUUGCGCCCCCUGGUAUUCCGGGGGGCAUGCCUGUCCGAGCGUCAUUGCUGCCCUCAAGCACGGCUUGUGUGUUGGGCCCCCGUCCCCGGUUUCCCCCGGGGACGGGCCCGAAAGGCAGCGGCGGCACCGCGUCCGGUCCUCGAGCGUAUGGGGCUUUGUCACCCGCUCUGUAGGCCCGGCCGGCGCCAGCCGACACCCAACUUUAUUUCUAAGGUUGACCUCGGAUCAGGUAGGGAUACCCGCUGAACUUAAGCAUAUCAAUAAGCGGAGGA